ensembl:rRNA 5S_rRNA 5S ribosomal RNA
UCGUUAGUACUUGCAUGGGAGACCGCCUGGGAAUACCA